AAAUAAAAUUGUAUAUAUUUAACGUGUACAAUGUGAUGAUUUGAUAUAUAUAUAUAUAUAUGCUGUGAAAUGAUUUUCACAAUCAAGUUAAUUAACAAAUCAGUCGGGGAUUUGAUUUAUUAAAUUAGGGACUACUGUACCCUAUGUAAUAUUAACAACCAUAAAACAUAAUAUUUAUCAUUAUGGGGAAAUAUUAAUGAUGAAUUAUUGAGUGAAAAGGAGAUAUAAAUAGUAUGUACGAUAUGAUCCUAACUACGUUACUAUGUAAAAAGGGGGUUAGGAAGAUACAAAGCAAUUAAUAAUAAAUGGGAAGAUUAUAGGUGAUUCUCUGUCUCUUCACUAGAGCUUUCUAUAUUUUCUAAACUUAUCACGUAUGUCUUUAGUUUGUAAUUAGAAAAAAAUACAUUGUCUAAAAAAAAUCAAAGCUUGCCCAAAUGAAGAGAAAAAUAUGGUAGGUCAAAUUUAAAGUACAAAUGAAUUAGUCCAAAGAGGAAUUCACGUGUUUCCAGGAUUCUGUGUUUCUCCAACAAGAAGCAGUUCUUCUGUGCCUUAGAAAGGAAAGGAAUUUGUGGCACUAUACGAGAAUGACAGAGCAAAGAGGGUGCUCAAGGAAUAAAGGUUAAGUAGCAAUUCCUGGCUUUAGUCUUACCUGAAAUAUUCUAAGAAAAGUCUUGAUCAUAAAUCAUCUUGAAACAGGUAGAUUAGAGGAAUGUGGCUAAGUAGAGCUCAUUAAAAACUGAGUGUAGAGGCAAUGCCACCUGAGAAUAUUUAAAAUCAGCAAUUGAUGAGGUAGCCAGGCCAGGUGAAGGCAGUGUCUGCUAACUUACUAUUCAUUGGUAGCUGUUAGCUGUGGUCUUUGUGCCAGAUUACUAGAGAAGUGUAUAGACGAGCUGGUCAUAAUUCCCCCUGGGAGCUCAGAGAGCAUGCAGGUAGAGAGAGAAAAUGAAAGACACUGAGUUGGAAAAGAAAGUCUCAGUAAGUCCAGCAAACAUAGAGAGCCCAGGGUACACAUUAGGAGUCUAAUAAGAAUUAGCCAGUGUAAUAAGAGGGAAGGAGAUGAUUGUCAGAGAAAGAAAAGAAGUGUUCAGUUUGUACAGGGGCCAUUUGCCCAUGCCCAGCUGCUUCAUGGUAGAACAACUAUACUGAGGGAAGCCAUAAGAGAUGCAUCCCCUUCAUCUAACGCAGAAGCACAUUAUCCAAAACUUGAACUGAGAGUGAAUUGGGCUCCUCAUUAUGCUUUACUAAGAGCCCAACAUUCUGAAAUUAAAUGGAAAAUAUAGUCAAGCACACAACCCAUUGGCAUUAAAGUAAAGUUAAAUGAAGGGAAAUACAAGCAGCACAACAGGACUUGCCAGCAAUGAGUAGCAUCUCAAGGGAAAACAAUUUAUAUAAAAGUUCUAAGUACAUAAACAUAAUAAAGGCACCCAGAUAACACUGUGUUUAUGUUGGCUUCAGGUUCUGCAUUGAAGAAGAUUAUGAAGGCUUGGGACACAUCGUUCCAUAAUUUGAGAGCUGAAAUGAGAAAUGGGUUCUAUUUUUUAUCAGGGACCAGGGGAAUGUGUGUCAAUCUCUGUGUGAGGGUGAAGAACACACUGAGACAGCAAGAAAAGACAUGUGAGUAAUGCCACUGGCAUUUUAAAGUCUUCUUUUUCUGUAUCUGAGUACACACCAGAGACCCCAUGGUUUCCUGAUAGUAGCAGUGCAGUCAGGGCCUCUCCACAUCAGAUCUUUCCUAGGCAGCACUUACCCAGGGACUGCGGAGAGCCAGGGAAAGUAGCUAACAAUAGCCUUAGACUCAUUGCUUCUGAGUCACAAAUGAGUGGAAUUUUGAAUCAUCUCUUGCUUACAUACUUUGUUUUUCAUUUUACUCCUCUAUAUACCCAGAAAGUAGUUGUCUCAAUUGCAAGGAAGCACCUCCAUCCACGACUGAGUCAGAUGCAGAAAUCCAGAUCUUUCAUAUCUUUGUAACACGCAGUACUAGAUGGACUUCAACAUGAGCAAUGGACCAAUCCAGUAAAUCUUCACAACCCACGGCAAUCACAGCCACUGUAUAAAACAGAGAGGAGUGGUGUUUCUACCCAACUCCAGUUCCGAAGUCUCUGUUUUGUGGCCUCUUUCACUAACCACAUUUUUAAAAACCUUAAUCAGAGCUAACCCUUCUCUAAUUAGGUUUGGACAAGCUACUUGAGCACUGGAAACAAGGCCUUGAAAGGAAAAAAAAAAAAAAAAAAAAAAAAAAAAAAAAAGAAAGAAAGAAUCCAGGGCUGUUUGUGAACUGACUGUGAUCUCCUAUGGUAACUGGAGACACACACGUGCAUAUACACGCUGCAGAGAUCUUUGGUUAUAGAUGCUACUUGCUUAUUUGCUAUUGAAUCAGUGACCAAACAUUCCUAAGGGAAAAGAAAAGGAGGCUUUAAGGUUUCUUCCCUAUUACUAACUUCCCUGGCAAGCUCUCUGGGUAACCACUGGUCAUUUACCACAUCCUGUGGAUUUCUCCCACAGGGUUACUCAAUGCGGUACAAGUUCUACCUUCCCACUCCAUGAUGUUGCUCAUAUGACCCUAUCACCAUGGGGUUCCAUUUGUCAAGCCCUUUCGUUUCAGAGUUUUACUAGAUCAAAAACCAAAAGUUAUGAGUCCUUCUUUUGACUUGUUUUAGGUGCUUGUAUUUCACUUAGGACACUCACUUCCCUUCACUUUUGUGUUAUAACUCAAGAUUCUUAUAUUAUGCACCUUUCUAGAUGGCACACUAAUGUUGCAAAGCUGCAAUAGUCUGUUGAAUUGAAUUUACUUAAUUUGUUUUGAACUUAAUAACCUGCUAGUAACUGUUGGUUUUCAUGAAGAGACAUUAAUUCUUUUGACUAAAAAAAAAGUAUACCGUGGAAAAAUGAAAAUACAAAAAUGUUUAACUACAAAAGGAAAAUAUUCAUUAUACCACUUCUUAGAGAUAAGGUUUAUUAUCCUUUUGAAGUUCACUUUUUUCCCUAAAACACUGCAAUCAAACUUUUUUUCCCAAGUAGUAAGAAAUCAUACCAAGAUCAUUUAAGAAAUAAUCCUUGUUCUCCCAACUGAUUUGAAUUGUCACCGUCAGUAAACUGAAGAAAUUUUUUCAUUGUACUGAAAUGCUUGAAAUGUCACUUCAAUCAUAUUGAAAAAGUUGUAGAAAGGAGUGGUCUCCUCUUUUUCACUUUUCAUUCUAAUAGCAAUCCCAUACCAACCAACCCCACCAAGAUUGCUCCUUUCAGCCUAGGCAAUGACCUCCAUUUUGUUCUUAUCUUACUUAAACUCCAAACAAUACUAAACACAGUCGACUGUCCUUCCCUGAAAUGCUCUCUUCUCUUAGCUGCAAUGCCUGGCUGAUUUUCCUCCAGCCUUGCCAGCUAUGUCUUCCCUGUUUCUGUUGCUGCCUUGCUCCUGUCCUGCCUGUCCUACAAAUGUUAGAAUGCCCAGGGCUCCUUUCUGGGCCUCAUCUUCUUCUGUAACACUCUCAUGUGUGCCCUGGCUUUAAAUAUCAUCAAUUAUUUGGAUUAUUUGCCAAAUGGUUGUCUCAAGCCCAGAUUCUCAUCAGAACAUCAGAUUUCUAUAUUUCACUGCUUGCUUAUCUUCUCAUAAUUUCUGACACCUAAAACUUGAUAUAUUUGAAAUUUUUGAUUCCUUACACCAACCCCUAUCCUGGUCUUCCUCUAGUCUUCCUAAUAUCAUUUACCCAGUUCAUUUACCCCAUAACUAGAAAUUACCCAUUGGUUCCUUUCUUUUCCUCAGUGUUGCAAUCCAAUGGUUUUAACUCUUCAACCAUAACAUAUUCUAAACUCAUCCACUUCUUUCCAGUUCCACUAUUACCAUCUACACCCAGCCACCUUCAUCUCUCCUGACAACUUGGAUAGGUUCCUAACUGGUCACCUACUGUCCUGCUGGCCUCUUUGUAAUAAAUUCUACCAAUAAAAACUGGAGUAACCUUUAUAAAUUACAAAUCAUACUAUGUCAUCCUCUGCUUUAAAAUCUCUCAAUAUUUUCAUAUUAUACUUAAAAAUAAAAUUCAAACUCCCUAUUGUGGGUGAAAAGUCCUACAAGAUCUAGCUCCUGGCACAAUCAUGUUGGACUAAUAUCUUCUUGCCUAUUCUGCUCCACCUAUACUGGCCUUCUGUCUGUUUCUUGAACAUACAGAGCCUGAUAAUUUUGAGAAGCACAUGAUAUUUCUUUACUCUGAAAGGUUAGUUCCCCCUGAAUUACACAUGAAUCACUCCUUCUAAUGAUUCAUUUAUCAGAUUAAAUAUCCCCUCAGGUCAUUCUUACACCACUCUUCUUGGAUUAUUUUAAUUUUUCUUACUCAUUUUUGGUAUAUUUGUGCAUUCUUUAUCUCUCCAACCAGAAUGGAAAGAAGUAGAAUCUCAUCUACCACAUUCACUGUUGAGAUUUUAGUGACUUGGUGCUUAAAACAGUGGUUUAUUUUUGUUUUGUUUUGUUUUGUUUUUAAUUUAAAUUCAGUUAAUUAACAUAUAGUGUAUUAUUAGUUUCAGAGGUAGAGUUCAAUGAUUCAUCAGUUGCAUACAACACUCAGUGUUCAUUACAUCAUGUAC
rnacentral:lncRNA from 1 species